rnacentral:rRNA from 1 species
UACGUAGGGCCCAAGCGUUGUUCGGAUUUACUGGGCGUAAAGGGCGCGUAGGCGGCAAUUCAAGUCACUUGUGAAAUCUCCGAGCUUAACUCGGAACGGUCAAGUGAUACUGCUUUGCUAGAGUGCAGAAGGGGCAACCGGAAUUCUUGGUGUAGCGGUGAAAUGCGUAGAUAUCAAGAGGAACACCGGAGGUGAAGACGGGUUGCUGGGCUGACACUGACGCUGAGGCGCGAAAGCUAGGGUAGCAAACGGG